rnacentral:rRNA from 1 species
CGUAAGGCGCCGAAAUGAGUCAUUAAAAAUUAACAUCAUCCGAUCCCUAGUCGGCAUAGUUUAUGGUUAAGACUACGACGGUAUCUGAUCGUCUUCGAUCCCCUAACUUUCGUUCUUGAUUAAUGAAAACAUCCUUGGCAAAUGCUUUCGCAGUAGUUAGUCUUCAAUAAAUCCAAGUAAUUUCACCUCUGACAAUUGAAUACUAAUGCCCCCAAUAUCCCUAUUAAUCAUUACGUCAAUCCUAAGAAACCAACAAAAUAGGAUCGAACGUCCUAUUCAUUAUUCCAUGCUAAUGUAUUC